rnacentral:rRNA from 1 species
GAACGCUGGCGGCGUGCCUAAUACAUGCAAGUCGAGCGAACGGACGAGAAGCUUGCUUCUCUGAUGUUAGCGGCGGACGGGUGAGUAACACGUGGAUAACCUACCUAUAAGACUGGGAUAACUUCGGAAAACCGGAGCUAAUACCGGAUGAUAUUUUGAACCGCAUGGUUCAAAAGUGAAAGACGGUCUUGCUGUCACUUAUAGAUGGAUCCGCGCUGCAUUAGCUAGUUGGUAAGGUAACGGCUUACCAAGGCAACGAUGCAUAGCCGACCUGAGAGGGUGAUCGGCCACACUGGAACUGAGACACGGUCCAGACUCCUACGGGAGGCAGCAGUAGGGAAUCUUCCGCAAUGGGCGAAAGCCUGACGGAGCAACGCCGCGUGAGUGAUGAAGGUCUUCGGAUCGUAAAACUCUGUUAUUAGGGAAGAACAUAUGUGUAAGUAACUGUGCACAUCUUGACGGUACCUAAUCAGAAAGCCACGGCUAACUACGUG